UACGAGGGGGGCGAGCGUUGUUCGGAAUUAUUGGGCGUAAAGGGUGCGUAGGCGGCCUGACAAGUCUGAUGUGAAAUCCCUGGGCUCAACCCAGGCUGCAUCCGAAACUGGAGUGCUAGAGUUCUGGAGGGGGUAGCGGAAUUCCUGGUGUAGCGGUGAAAUGCGUAGAUAUCAGGAGGAACACCGGUGGCGAAGGCGGCUACCUGGACAGAAACUGACGUGAGGCGCGAAAGCUAGGGGAGCAAACAGG
rnacentral:rRNA from 1 species